GGGGGAUAGAGUUUAAUGGAGGCGAUGUUGUCGAAGGCAGGAGAUAAACGAGAUGCGUGAACAGUAUCAGAGUGGCAAAAGCAUGGGAAGACAAAGAAAUGAUGAGGUUCUGGAAUUCUGAGCAUUAGUUUAGAUUUCUUUUUGGAGGUUGAGGUAAUGAAGCUACUUUUCAAUCCAAAUUCACCCUCAUUCACAUCUCCCACAAUCGCAAAGGGAACCUGUUAAAGGAGACGCGCUUGGUUUUUUUUCUCUUCGAAAUCGCCCCACAGCCGCUAACGACUGACCGCGGCUUUAGCUUUCAGCACAACGUCGAACCAGAGCUUAGCGGCGAGGUGAGUCCGCGGAAUAUGAGUCCUCUGCUGCUGCCCUUCCAUUCGCCAAUGCCAAUGCAAAACAACAACACCCGAUCCGAACCGUCUUCCGAUACGAUCUCCCCGGUCGGAGCUUCGCAGUCGAAGUGGUUGAGAUGCAAACAAAUAAAAGUUUAAGAUGAAACAAUAAAACAUGAUAAAAAAUUACUCCCCAUUUACAUCGAGGGCACCUUCCACCGCCACACCAUGCGGUGGAUUCCUCUCAAGUCGCCUGAAACAGUAUUUGGAGCGAGGGGGAAGGAAACUGGUUUCGUUUGCUGCGCGCUUGUGCGCUGCCGUAUUAUGCUGAUUGCGUUGCACACGCCGAUUUUAAUGGAAUAAUUACAAUUUAUUAACUCAUUAUUAAACGAUGCAGUUGAAUGUUGGUUUUUUUUUUUGGUGAAAAAUAUUGUAAAUUUUUUUUUGAAGAUAAUUGUGUACAAAAUGUGUGGCAAAAGAGGUUUGCAGAGAUGAAGCUUGAUCUUCAGUGGAUAUAAAUUCUUCUAGACACUCCUUAUAAGGCAACCAAAGGGGUUGAGUUAUGGUUCGCUAAUGAAGAUCACAGUACGCACCCAUGCAGUCGACCGAAACGAGCAAAUGCGUGUUACCUUUGCUUGUUAGGCCUUUCCUUUUACAGCGAGUUGAAUCCAAAUGGCAAGGGAAUUCCAGUGCUAUAGCGGGAUUACUCAGUGACGAGUAGACGAGUAGACGGGGCUAGAUGCAAUAGGCAAGCCACAGCAAGUACAGCGUGUUCGUUAAAGCGAACGGGAAGAGUUGAAGAACCAGCGGGAAGCUCUACGGGAACAGGUUGCACCAAAGACACCACCAGAUUGGAGCCCCAAGAUGUCCACCUUCCACGACAACGACGCCCUAAGGCCUUCGGGGAAAGAGUCCAGUCAGGAUUACUAAUCUUUGCACUAUCUACACAGCUCUGCACCGGUUGCAGAGUUGCAUCGGGGAAGCGUUCACAAACCAAAACCUGCUUCUUCUCAUGCCGAUGAAUCGUGGGGCAGGUUUUUUUGCAGGUCCUACUUUCCUACCGGUUCUGGUUCAUUGGCCCGCUCGUGCUAACGGACAACAUGUAUAGAGUUGCAAUCGCAAUUGGACUCGAAGAUGGCUUUGGAGCGCAUGAUCAUUUAUGAUCGCCAAGGCAAUUGAGGGCGAGUAUGGGACUUUUGGUUGAUUUUUUAAUAACUGUUUAACGCAAACAAGUCUCUUUUCGAAUUGCAAUAUAUGUUAUGAAAGGUUCAUUACAAAGAACCACAGCAUCAGUAACACAUUUUCAACUUCACUCCUGUGACUUCGCCUCGGGAUGCAUUCCUGUUUUCCCUUCUCCGCAGUCCGCGCGCAAGAUACCAACAACCUUUGGGAUUAUUUUAUUGUGAAUUGUUCACCUCUCCCAACCUGUUCGCCAUCUCUUCUCCAACCUUCGAAGCGAUCCCUUGCAGGGGAUUGUCUCGGCAGCGGUCCAGAAACGGGGAAACAUUUUUCGAUAAGCAAUCGCUCGCGCGCUGUUGUUCGCCUUCCAAUGCAAUGCAACAUGCUGGGAUUCGUUUCCACUUUUUUUUCUUUUUCCUUCUGUGCAUAUUUGCAUAUGCUUGCAGAAUGUGUUGCACUUGAUCGCUCAAGAGACUGAGACUGUGGCCACACAUCGAAAUCGUUGGUAUCGUUGUUCGUUUUGAAGGUCACGGCUGGCAGGCAGGUUUCCCGAGGGUCGCCUCGUUUUUUUUUUGCAUAUUCGGAGGAUAUUGCUGCAAGCCACUGUGAAACGCGCGGUUGAGUUGGAAGUUUUAAUAAAAUUUUACUUUUCUUUGUGUCUGUAUAUUCGCUGCCAUGCCAUUGAGCAUCCCAUAGGGACAGUUUUGCCUGGGAAUGAUUAUUCAUCGUUAAAAAGUUGAGCAAACGGCUUCAAUUUGUCAUCGAUUUUGUCAAAGAUUUUCUGAUGAAAACAAGACCUUGGAUGAAUGAAAUUAGAUGUUUAGAGGAAGCUAUUUCCGGACACACAAAAAAGAAUCGGAAAAUUGCUUCACUUCCGUCUGGUACGCUGGCGAACAGCGUGGCGUGAUUCGAUGUUUCUUUCCCUCCGCGUGCUCAAUCACCUGUCAAUGGGAAGAUCCAAUCGAAGAAGAGCGCAUUGGGUACAAAAAAACUUUGUUCGGCUUCCCAGCGGGACGCAUAUUGCUCUAAUUUCCCUCCCUUCGCCGUCCGUGUAGCCACGGGUGAGGGUGAGCCCCCCCACGUCGAGCAAAUCGGCGCGCCAAUUGUUCGGAAAUUACCAUGUACCGUAGAGGGAAAAUAUGAUUAUAAUUUCGCGAGCAACAGGAAGAUCCGGGUGGGUGUGUUUGUGCGCGUGUGAAGCAAAGGAAGAGAUUUGAACGCAAAAAAGAUUCAUUUGGAAGGACAAAUUUAUUUUUUUCUAUCAAUUUGGGCUUUGUCCUUUGAGGUAAAACGAGUUUUUUGUUCUUUUGGAAGAUGAUUGAAUAUUGUAUCAAAGAAAAAUUAGCUUUCUCCAACAACAAAAAGCAACAUUAAACGAUCGAGCAAAUGAGUGACAUUCUUAGAAUUACGGCAGGUCGUCGUCCAAUCUUCAGGUGAUUGUGGAGGGAUUUUCUUUUCUUUUAUGCUGUGCGUGUGUGUGCCAAAACUUGUCCUUCCCGUUGCAGUCGUAGGGCUUUGCUAAUCUUUCCCAAUCCGAGACACACAGCUUCUGCUGCUGACAAGCGCGCUAAUGGAAAAAUGCCAAAGGCGAAAGCCCUCGCGAACCAACUACCUCGGGUAUUGGGGAUGUGUGCUGUGCGUCAAACUUUAGCCCGUUGUGUAGCAUAAUUCCGUAAUGACUUUUGCUGUCGGAUUAAGAGCCUGAGUAGUAUUGCGAACAUCAAAACUUGUUCGCAUUAUUUCGUGUGAGGUGGACACGCCACUGUACGCCACACGAAGGGAGCAGGAGCAUUAAACGUGUGGCUCACAUAUGAUGGGUGCAAGUGGUCAGAAAAUAUUUAUGUCCGAUCGUUAACGCACAGCGAGAGAUUACGCUGGUCGCUUGUUGGGUAUGUUUUAAGUAGUUGGGGUACUAAAAGCAAAUGUAUAAGCAUCUUGAAGAUGUAGCGGGAAUUCAGAUUUGUUAAUUAGAAAACGACAUCAAGGUAAAGCGAACUUUGUUACGUACUCCUCAAGCUGUAAACAUACUUCAACAUUCCUUUUGGGUUGAAUGGAACGAUAAAUGAACCUUGAGAAUCAAAAAUCAGGAAAUGAACCAUUAAAAACCAGCUAAUUAAAAGAUGAAUUUUGAACCAGAACACGUUGAAUGCAAUUGUAUGCUCCAAGGCACCGCUAAAGCUAUAUUUAAAGAGUAAUAAAAUGGAAAACCUCAAAGCGGGCCACUGAGGUCUCUUUGAGCAAAACAAGAAAGGUAUAGUGAGAAAGAGAGAUUAAAAGAAAGCAUAUUCUCUGUUAUGACCAGUUUUAUCUUUAACAGAAAAUUUUCACAUUAAAUUUAUUUAAAGCAUCCCGAUUUCUCAUAGGAUUUGAUCUCAAGAAGUCAUUGUACUUUCAAGCGAGAGUCCCAAGAUAUCAUUGCUUUCAAGCCUCUGUAAAAGUAUUACACAGCCUUUCAAGACUUAUUUUUUACAAUUAGACCGGAAUGCUAGUCCUUGCUAAGCGAGAUCUGGAUAAGAAUUGAACUCAUCCGGUCUUAUAACAAGCUCUUCAUCAUAAUAAUGUAUCUGCUUUAUGUGUAUUCAUAUAAGCCCUGAAGGAUCUGACCGUUAGUCAAAAUUGGUAAGCUAGAUCCUUAAAGUCUGAUGAAAUAUUUCCAUGAAAAUAUCUACAUCUAUUAAUGGAUGAAACAUAAUCCUGCAUGCUUGAAACAUAUCAAACAGAAUGUAGAUGACAUAAACAUGUAAACCAAUUCCCAUGCAUUCCUCGUCCCCGUUGAAAGGCUUUUCCGUCACCAAACGACGCUCAUUAAACCACGUUUGUUGUGCUGUCAAAAAGUCAUUCCCAGAAGGUGUCCGGUGACUGUGCUGCGCUUUAGGCGAAAUAUCGCCGGAGGCCCCCGUCGACAAUCCGGCGUUCGACGCGUCAUUCCGAAGUGGACCAAAACAGCUCGUCCACAAAAAAAUAAAGGGAAGAUGUUGAAAAUUUACGAUCCCAAACUGUUUUCCAAACCGAUGCCAAGAUUGCCCUUGACAUCGGGCGAAACAGAAGACGACGAUCGGUGCCUAGAUGGCGAUCAUCCAAUGUGUUUGUUUGCAUCGUUUGUGCCGGCUGAUGUCAUGCUUUUAAUUUCGGCCAUAUAUAGGUCCAUAUCACACGGGCGGGCACAAUCGUUUGUGUUGUUGUGACACAGCGUUACCCCGUUUUUUGUGACGCUUCGUGGCCAGACACAGCAGCUGUUGAUCAUAUGUGUCGCUGGAAGAACUCGUGACGCCGUUUUGCUCAUCAUCUCCAAACGGCCGAUCGUAUGUAACCAACAAGUCCUGUCCACUGUCUUGCCGUGCUCUGGACAAUGACAAUGAAAGAUCAUUGUUCUGGCAAACAAAAUCCGCAUCACAGUAAGCGCUUUUGUUUUGUUGGAAGAAUCCCCCGGUUGCUGCUGCUGCCACCGCCGCCAGCGUUGUGGGUCGUCACGGUGCGUCCGAUGCAAACGUGACCAGCGAACUCCUCCAGCGAACCGGUUGACCUCGGAUGCAGCGCAUCCGAACAAAGCUCUGGCCACUCAGGGCUGUAGAACAAUCGAGUUGAUUGUGCUCGGGCUGACGCGGGCAUCGUACCUCGCAGCGCAGCACCGCUGAUGAUGUUUUAAUUGUGCCCACCACUCCAGGCAGCAGAUCGCCCUGAGGUCUUUUAGCUCGUUUUCGUGUCGGAAUAUUGGGACUGGGACUGAGACUAUUCGGGGCUGCGCUAUAAACCGAAACCGGUUCACUUGGAUGCUGCGGACAAACUGAACCGUCCGUCCGUGCUGGCGGCCACCGCCGGUGAUGCGCUCUAGCGCAUUGCUACUUGUUUGACUUCAACCGACGACUGCGCACUGCUCGACACUGCCGCAAGUUGCAUCGUUCCAAAGCCGCGCUACCAUGGUAGCGAGAUGAACUGCGACCGGUUGGAUUUAUCAAUCGCUAGCGCAGCACGUCCCACUGCCUAUAGAGCGGGCCGGUGGAUGCUGCGUCCGAACUGCCGGAAUUUGUAGCAUCGAGCAUCGAUGGUGCGGGUGAAGAUGAGAUCGUCCUGAAAGCGCUUCGGAGUGUCUGGUUCGGCCCGGGGGUUUUACCCCUCCUACCGCCUGUCCAAGCCGGUGUUGGUCACCUUUCCAGCCAUUGGGGAGUUAUCGGAGGUCCUACUGGUUGGAGGUUGUUUCCCAAGAUCUUGUCGGAAAGCCCAAUGCCAUCGUCGCGCCAUUGCGCGACCCGUCGGUCAGUUUUGGGUUGCAGUUGUGACGGGUGGAACGAGUUGUAGUUUUGUGUUGUGAUAAGUUCUAAGACUUCCUGUGCGUGUGUGUGUGUGGACUUUUAAAGGUUCGGUGCGAAGGUGUGUCACACAUCCGGGUGAGAGUCAGUGCGCGUGUUGGUUAGUGUCUGUCUGGUGGAUUCGUCUGUGGCAUUUUAUCUAUCCGUGGAGUCUACGUGUGAAGUCCAACUCAUUUUCUGGAGACGAUUUCAGGACUCAAACCCGUCGGAGGAAUGCCUUCGAGUGGGGGUUGCUUGGGUCUCUGAAGCGUCCCUAGAAUUGGGAAGGAUUUCCCUGUAGACAUCCAACGGAUGGGUAGUGUCAUGGCAACUCCACCAGCAACACACGACAGGUGGCAACUGGCUUUUGUUCGGGGUUUGAUCAUCUUUUCCGUCCUUUAUUGGUACCCCCUCCACAUACGGACAGGUCCUUAGAGCCUAAUCACAAACACAGGCACAUACUUCGUCUCCACUCCCUGCUGCUCUGAAGCUGUCGGCGGUGACCGCGGUGGUGCUGGUGGUGUUGGUGUGGAACGCAAGGGAAAGGAAGCUCCCCGAUCGGUGGCUCCCCGAGGCUUCCUGGUUGGCACUACGGGUUGGUGUGCUGGGCCGGCAGGGUAGCGUCCACGCUGCCCGGACAGGCACCAGGUACGGUGCGGUCGCCAGACGUAUCCGCCCGUUUCGUGUGCGAGCGCUUCGGGAACGGUUGACUUUUCCACCCGCGUCCAUUAUGAAUCGUCAUAGAGAGAUUGAUAGUAUCACUUGUGUUUUUAAUUCACUUGCCGAAUUUUAAAUGCAAUAUUGAACAAAAUAACAUAUAAAAACUCGUUUUUGGAAAGUCCUUUAACAGCAGAGAAUUCAAUUUCCUCGUUAAAGGUAUAAGCAAAUAACAAACAAAACAAAACAAAACAACCAUACAAAUCAAACACACACAAUAAAUCACAAAACUGCAUGGCAUGGCUACAGCCUUGUCCAAGUUGAAGCGUGAUAAGAAUUUACAUAAUUUCCUCCAUUAAGACUCCUUCUUUCCUUUCUUCGUUUUACCGCCCGUAAUUCAUCGACAAAAGACAUACAAAAAACAACUGUUGAGGUAGGCUUAUCGCUUGCCCGGCUAGACGUACAAUAAAAAAUCACAACCGAAUUGCUCAAUGAAGCACAAUCACGGGGCAUGUUAUCA